AGUCGAGUGAAGCUUUUCAGUAGUUUACUACAGAAAAUGACUGAGCGGCGAACGGGUGAGUAACGCGUGAGCAAUCUACCUUAGUUACAGGGAUAGCCCGAGGAAACUCGGAUUAAUACCUGAUAUUCUUUAUUUCUCGCAUGAGAAUAAAAGGAAAGGUCAGCCGAACUAAGAUGAGCUCGCGUUCUAUCAGCUAGUUGGUGAGGUAAAAGCUUACCAAGGCUACGACGGAUAGCUGGUCUGAGAGGACGAUCAGCCACACUGGGACUGAGACACGGCCCAGACUCCUACGGGAGGCUGCAGCAGGGAAUAUUGUGCAAUGAACGAAAGUUUGACACAGCGACACCGCGUGUGGGAUGACGGAUCUAGGUUUGUAAACCCCUUUCAGGAGGGAAGAAAAUGACGGUACCUCCACAAGAAGCCCCGGCCAACUACGUGCCAGCAGCCGCGGUAAUACGUAGGGGGCGAGCGUUGUCCGGAUUUAUUGGGCGUAAAGAGCUCGUAGGCGGUUCAACAAGUCGGUCGUGAAAGUUCAGGGCUCAACCCUGAAAUGUCGAUCGAUACUGUUGUGACUAGGAUACGGUAGAGGUGAGUGGAAUUCCGAGUGUAGCGGUGAAAUGCGUAGAUAUUCGGAGGAACACCAAUUGCGAAGGCAGCUCACUGGGCCGCUAUCGACGCUGAGGAGCGAAAGCUAGGGGAGCAAACAGGAUUAGAUACCCUGGUAGUCCUAGCUGUAAACGAUGGAUACUAGAUGUAGGAACUGGAUUGACGGUUUCAGUAUCGCAGCUAACGCGUUAAGUAUCCCGCCUGGGGAGUACG
rnacentral:rRNA from 1 species